rnacentral:tRNA from 1 species
GGCACUUUGGCGGAGUGGUCAACGCGAUAGCCUGCUAUUUUCAGAAAUAUGACAGCUAUUUCCUUCGGGAGCCAGAGUUCGAAUCUCUGAGGUGUCG